rnacentral:tRNA from 1 species
GGGGGCAUAGCUCAGUGGUAGAGUGCAUGCCUAGCAUGUAUGAGGUCCUGGGUUCAAUCCCCAGUACCUCCA